rnacentral:rRNA from 1 species
UACGGGGGGGCAAGCGUUGUUCGGAAUUACUGGGCGUAAAGGGCUCGUAGGCGGCCAACUAAGUCAGACGUGAAAUCCCUCGGCUUAACCGGGGAACUGCGUCUGAUACUGGAUGGCUUGAGAUUGGGAGAGGGAUGCGGAAUUCCAGGUGUAGCGGUGAAAUGCGUAGAUAUCUGGAGGAACACCGGUGGCGAAGGCGGCAUCCUGGACCAACACUGACGCUGAGGAGCGAAAGCCAGGGAGCAAACGGG